GAUGAACGCUAGCGAUAGGCUUAACACAUGCAAGUCGAGGGGCAGCAUGGUCUUAGCUUGCUAAGACUGAUGGCGACCGGCGCACGGGUGCGUAACGCGUAUGCAACUUGCCUCACAGAGGGGGAUAACCCGUCGAAAGACGGACUAAUACCGCGUACACUUGGGAUAGGGCAUCCUGACCCAAGGAAAUGAAAUUCGCUGUGAGAUAGGCAUGCGUCCCAUUAGCUAGUUGGUGAGGUAACGGCUCACCAAGGCGACGAUGGGUAGGGGAACUGAGAGGUUGAACCCCCACACUGGUACUGAGACACGGACCAGACUCCUACGGGAGGCAGCAGUGAGGAAUAGUGAUCAAUGGGCGAGAGCCUGAACCAGCCAAGUCGCGUGAAGGAUGACUGUCUUAUGGAUUGUAAACUUCUUUUAUACGGGAAUAACAAGAGCCACGUGUGGCUCCCUGCAUGUACCGUAUGAAUAAGCAUCGGCUAACUCCGUG
rnacentral:rRNA from 1 species